rnacentral:tRNA from 1 species
AGCUCACGCUGUGAAGGCACCCAAGUACGAGCAACUGACUUGUAAUCAGUAGGUCACCAGUUCGAUUCCGGUAGUCGGCACCA